rnacentral:ncRNA from 1 species
CCCCGUGAGGGAAAAUCUGAAGGAAGUCUGAGGCAAAGUGCUGAACUGAUGGAUAAGAACCAGCUAUAAGGCUGCACGCCAUGGAUCAGGUUGCCAAACAAACCAAAAGUCCAAUACCGCUCAAAAUGACGGACAGUAAAGCCGGCAGCUACGUGGCACGAAGGUUAU